CGUUGAACAUGAAACACGUGUCUUAAUAAAUUAAGAUAGUCACUAGCACUUCAUGCUGUCUGCAGGAUAGUCACUAGCACUUCAUGCUGUCUGCAGGAUAGUCACUAGCACUUCAUGCUUUUCCUGUUGGUGCCGAUGGUAUUUAGACAUGAUUGCGUGCCAUGAAGUAUACUGUUCGUUGGCGCUUUUCUAUAACAAGGCGAUACUGGCAUUGGUAUUUAUCAUAACUGCGCUACAAGAUUUAAGGUAAGUUCUAAAGUGCCACAACAACGAGGUCAACAUAUCAAAGCUAUGCAGUGCUUUGGCAAAAUGAUGCUACUACAUGGUAUACACAAGGUAAGUGCAGUAGUACAGUGUUGAUGGCAUGUUAGUGGUCACAGCUCAAAAAACAAUUGUUGUAUUAAUGAGUCAGUAAUUGGCCUUUCCUAGAAAUACUGAAUGUAAGCUGCUACAUUAAGUGCUUGAUAAACAUGCUUUAUGCCAACAAGUAUACGAGACCGUGGUUGAACAUUUGCAAGAAAUCGCCCAUGAAACAAUAAUAUUCAUUCCACCAAAGUGUCUAAUAUCACAGCAAAAUUUGAAAUUUUAUUUAAAUUAACCUGGGGAUAAAAUGCAGUGUUUUAGUUAGUAGUGAGGUCUGCGGUAAGAGUUGUCACGUUUUCUUGACGUGACGGCCAUGUUGGCUGCCGCGCAGUAAAAUUGUAUUUCGUGAACAUUGGCAAGCGUUGUGUUAGUAUAGAUUCAACACAAAUAAAUCUCGAUGAAAUCAGAAAUGAACUUUGAUUGUUACUGUGUGUUCUCCACGAACAAUACAUAAUUACGCUACACAAACAUCUUCUGGUUAAGAUAUGUGAAACUUAGUACUAUCAGGGUUUUUUUUUAGAAAAAGGGGAAGACGCUGGACGCUGGGUAAAAGGGGAAAAUAGAGCGCGAAAGAGAAAUAUUUGGGGAAAAAAUAAAAACUGUUCAUUUCAAUGUCUAUAACUCAUCUUCAGACUUCAGGGUUUUUUUUUAGAACAAGAGGCAUGUCUCUGACCUUUUUGUUCUCAAACACAUAAAAAAGUAUGAUAUUAAAGUCAAAGUCCUAAAUAAAGUUGCAGGGAUAGAUCUAAUAAUGGGAAAUAUUUUCAACUGGGGCCUGGGGACGAUGUCAAUAUUAUGAUUUCAAUUUCAUGAUGAAUGGGUAGAUGAUUUAGAUCUGCUACAGUAUUGGAAGGGAAAGGUGCGGCAGCUGCCGAUUGUGUACUUUCACUUUCACAAUGUUCGAUGUUUAUUACAUGUACCUCCAAAUUCUGCUGGGUUUCAGCGGUUUUUGAUGAUUCAUUCUUAAAAAAUGCGUCGACGCAACUAAUAUUUUCCGAUACCGAACGUUUUAUUUUGUUCGUGUAUGAACGCCAAUUGUGAGACUUUUUUCUGUUUUAACGUUUAUAUCUUGGCUUUCACAUAACCCGGAUGAAAAUUCGACUGGUUUCCGGUAUUUAUUGACGAAACGCCAUUCUCACGCAAGACCGGAAUCCAGUAAAAUAGUCCCCUAAUUAAUACGAUUAGUUGCCAGGUUUUCAUGACGCAAUUUAAGAGCUAUAUUUAGAAUCACUGGUAUUCCCAGAUUUGAGUGUUCGUCGGGAGAGAGAGAGAGAGCGAGAUCGUUGUACAUGUUACAAAUCGGAUAAGUGUCGACUUCCCAAAAGAUAAAAAAAACCCAUUCUUUGAGGGUAAAAUAUUAUAUUUUGGUGAAAAAUUAUAUUUUUGGAGGGGAAAAUGUAUUUUUAGGGGAAAAAUUCUGGAAGGGGAAGACGCCGGAUAUCGGUGUCACUUUCUUAGUA